ensembl:lncRNA
CGUAGUCACACAUAUGUUUGAUACCGUUCCAUUAAUUCCAUUCCAGUCUUUACAAUUAGCAUGUCCUCAUAUAGCUCCUCACACCAAUCUCCUCUGCUGUGCACAGUAUUUUUCAGCGACAACAUGUUUGGGGCGUUUGUCUUCGUUUACACACAGGUGUUCGGGAAACGCAGAUUGGUAUUUACCACAGAUGGGUGGACCGGAAACCCAGUGACAACACUUGGGUCUGCAGGUGCCAUUUUCCUGCGGGAAAGAGAAAUGGCCCUGUAUUUACCAGAAAAGGUGCUCGUCCACCAUGGCAGAAGAGGAAGAUCCGGACUGUUGUUUGGGAAACAAGAACAAACAAUGAGGCGUGAGGAUUAGGUGUUGAGGGACCACAUGUCACAUUGUCCAAGUUCAACAGAGUGCAUCCCUCAGGCCUUCCGGUACAUGGAUAACCUGUGCCAGUGUGAUCCGAGCGCAAGAGUCCAGUUGUAGACUACAGCAGAUCGAGCUUGUGGACGGACAGAUCAUGACAACUUUGGGAGCAUGUGGUCCUUGAAAAACUCCUCUAGUCCAGCAAUAUGAGUCUGCCAAAGGUCGUCACGCUGGAUGGGGAUGGUGAUGGAGGCUAUGGUGGUCCACUCAACAAAGAAGCAACUGUCCCUUCCAGUGGAGAUGCCCUUGGACCUGGUGCCAGUAAGGAUAGUCUUCACGGUGGCGUUAAUACCCUCACUCCUCAUGGAUAUAGAAAUCCUUCAACUUCACUGCGUCUUCAAUGGUAAAUUCUCUUGCACCAUACGGACACUUGACCUCCACCACUGCUGUGGUGCCCACCAAACCAUCCGGUGAGAUACCCAGGAUCCCAUAGCCUGUGUCCCAAAGCCCUGACUCCUGCACAUCCAUCCCUGUAGCCAUUUUGAAUGCCUUGAUACCCUCAUCUUCAUUAUCUGUGCCCCACUUUACAGACAACACCCCAUCCAACGACUGUGAUUGGAGGACCCUUUUUUUUAUAGCAGCGACAAAGUAAUGCUCUUAGUCCUAACUGCUACAAAUUGCUGGCCGUCAACCUCCUCUCCUCAUGGUGUGUCAGUUGAGGUUGGUGCUCUGUCAAACGUUUGCCUGCUGUAUAGCCUCCUGCUGCUCCACCGGCAGCGCCAUGCCAGCCAAGAUGCCUGCAUGCCCUAGGUGCCCUUCUUUUUAACAAUGUCCGGUACAGACAGGUUCUUAUGGCUCAGGUUCAUGGAGCCAUGCCAUUCCACUGAACCUGCACCAGAGGCUGUUCCUUAGCCACUGAAGAUCCUCCUCUGUUGGCUCUCGGGACAGAGGGUUGUAAGUGUUCUGCCGGGUACAGGUCCUCCACUGACUGCACCUGGUUGGGCACGACUGGCUUCCUCUACUCGCAUUCCACAUACGUACAGCCAAUAACUGCAAAAAUAGCUAAUGCAGCCACAUGGCUACACUUAUGAGCUCCACGGCAGCAUUCACAUGUGGUAGAUAGAAUCGCCUGGUCACCAAUAGAGAAAUGCCAAGAGGAAGGAUUUUAAGUGCCACGUGCCUUUCAAUGCAUGACUUUGAAUGCCAUGAACUGCAUUUGUUGUAAGAAAUGUGUUGUAUAAAUAAAGUUUGAUUUAAU